rnacentral:rRNA from 1 species
UACGGAGGAGGCAAGCGUUAUCCGGAAUUAUUGGGCGUAAAGCGUCCGUAGGUGGUUUUACAAGUCAGCUGUUAAAGCGUGAGGCUUAACCUCAUACAGGCGGUUGAAACUGUAGGACUAGAGUUUGGUAGGGGUUGCGGGAAUUUCCAGUGGAGCGGUGAAAUGCGUAGAGAUUGGAAAGAACACCGAUGGCGAAGGCACUUUACUGGGCUAUUACUAACACUCAGAGACGAAAGCUAGGGUAGCAAAUGGG